rnacentral:tRNA from 1 species
CGGAGAUUGGCGUAACGGUAGCGCAUUAGGCUGGGGGUCUAAAGGCUUGAGUUCAACUCUCAAAUCUCCGA